rnacentral:rRNA from 1 species
UGGGGAAUUUUGCACAAUGGGGGAAACCCUGAUGCAGCGACGCCGCGUGAUUUAGAAGGCCUUCGGGUUGUAAAAAUCUUUUCUAUGGGAAGAAAAUGACAGUACCAUAGGAAUAAGGACCGGCUAAUUACGUGCCAGCAGCCGCGGUAAUACGUAAGGUCCGAGCGUUGUCCGGAAUCAUUGGGCGUAAAGGGUACGUAGGCGGGUAAGCAAGUUAGAAGUGAAAUCCUAUAGCUCAACUAUAGUAAGCUUUUAAAACUGCUCAUCUUGAGGUAUGGAAGGGAAAGUGGAAUUCCUAGUGUAGCGGUGAAAUGCGCAGAUAUUAGGAGGAAUACCGGUGGCGAAGGCGACUUUCUGGCCAUAACCUGACGCUGAGGUACGACAGCGUGGGUAGCAAACAGG